CACAUGCAAGUCGAGGGGCAGCAUGUUGGUUGCUUGCAACCAAUGAUGGCGACCGGCGCACGGGUGAGUAACGCGUAUCCAACCUUCCCCUUAGUAGGGCAUAGUCCGGCGAAAGUCGGAUUAAUACCCUAUGUUAUUCGUAGAGGACAUCUGAAAUGAAUCAAAGAUUUAUCGCUAAGGGAUGGGGAUGCGUCUGAUUAGGUAGUAGGCGGGGUAACGGCCCACCUAGCCGACGAUCAGUAGGGGUUCUGAGAGGAAGGUCCCCCACAUUGGAACUGAGACACGGUCCAAACUCCUACGGGAGGCAGCAGUGAGGAAUAUUGGUCAAUGGGCGAGAGCCUGAACCAGCCAAGUAGCGUGCAGGAUGACGGCCCUAUGGGUUGUAAACUGCUUUUAUACGGGGAUAAAGUGAGGGACGUGUCCCUUUUUGUAGGUACCGUAUGAAUAAGGACCGGCUAAUUCCGUGCCAGCAGCCGCGGUAAUACGGAAGGUCCGGGCGUUAUCCGGAUUUAUUGGGUUUAAAGGGAGCGCAGGCUGAUUGUUAAGCGUGACGUGAAAUGUAGCCGCUCAACGGCUGAACUGCGUCGCGAACUGGCAGUCUUGAGUGAGUACGACGUCAGCGGAAUUCGUGGUGUAGCGGUGAAAUGCUUAGAUAUCACGAAGAACCCCGAUUGCGAAGGCAGCUGACGAGUCCUUUACUGACGCUAAAGCUCGAAGGUGCGGGUAUCGAACAGGAUUAGAUACCCUGGUAGUCCGCACGGUAAAACUAUGGAUGCCCGCUGUUGGCGAUAUAGUG
rnacentral:rRNA from 1 species